GACGAACCGUGCAAACGUUGUUCGGAAUCACUGGGCUUAAAGGGCGCGUAGGCGGCCUCGCCAGUCUGUGGUGAAAGCCCCCGGCUCAACCGGGGAAGUGCCGUGGAUACUGCGAGUCUGGAGGAGGGUAGGGGCAUCUGGAACGCUGGGUGGAGCGGUGAAAUGCGUUGAUAUCCAGCGGAACUCCGGUGGCGAAGGCGAGGUGCUGGACCCUUUCUGACGCUGAUGCGCGAAAGCCAGGGGAGCAAACGGG
rnacentral:rRNA from 1 species